rnacentral:rRNA from 1 species
GAUGAACGCUGGCGGCGUGCCUAAUACAUGCAAGUCGAGCGAACGGACGAGAAGCUUGCUUCUCUGAUGUUAGCGGCGGACGGGUGAGUAACACGUGGAUAACCUACCUAUAAGACUGGGAUAACUUCGGGAAACCGGAGCUAAUACCGGAUAAUAUUUUGAACCGCAUGGUUCAAAAGUGAAAGACGGUCUUGCUGUCACUUAUAGAUGGAUCCGCGCUGCAUUAGCUAGUUGGUAAGGUAACGGCUUACCAAGGCAACGAUGCAUAGCCGACCUGAGAGGGUGAUCGGCCACACUGGAACUGAGACACGGUCCAGACUCCUAAGGGAGGCAGCAGUAGGGAAUCUUCCGCAAUGGGCGAAAGCCUGACGGAGCAACACCGCGUGAGUGAUGAAGGUCUUCGGAUCGUAAAACUCUGUUAUUAGGGAAGAACGUAUGUGUAAGUAACUGUGCACAUCUUGACGGUACCUAAUCAGAAAGCCACGGCUAACUACGUG